rnacentral:rRNA from 1 species
GAUGAACGCUGGCGGCGUGCCUAAUACAUGCAAGUAGAACGCUGAAGCUUGGUGCUUGCACCGAGCGGAUGAGUUGCGAACGGGUGAGUAACGCGUAGGUAACCUGCCUCUUAGCGGGGGAUAACUAUUGGAAACGAUAGCUAAUACCGCAUAAAAGUCGAUAUCGCAUGAUGUUGACUUGAAAGGUGCAAUUGCAUCACUAAGAGAUGGACCUGCGUUGUAUUAGCUAGUUGGUGAGGUAACGGCUCACCAAGGCGACGAUACAUAGCCGACCUGAGAGGGUGAUCGGCCACACUGGGACUGAGACACGGCCCAGACUCCUACGGGAGGCAGCAGUAGGGAAUCUUCGGCAAUGGGGGCAACCCUGACCGAGCAACGCCGCGUGAGUGAAGAAGGUUUUCGGAUCGUAAAGCUCUGUUGUAAGAGAAGAACGAGUGUGAGAGUGGAAAGUUCACACUGUGACGGUAACUUACCAGAAAGGGACGGCUAACUACGUGCCAGCAGCCGCGGUAAUACGUAGGUCCCGAGCGUUAUCCGGAUUUAUUGGGCGUAAAGCGAGCGCAGGCGGUUAGAUAAGUCUGAAGUUAAAGGCUGUGGCUUAACCAUAGUACGCUUUGGAAACUGUUUAACUUGAGUGCAGAAGGGGAGAGUGGAAUUCCAUGUGUAGCGGUGAAAUGCGUAGAUAUAUGGAGGAACACCGGUGGCGAAAGCGGCUCUUUGGUCUGUAACUGACGCUGAGGCUCGAAAGCGUGGGGAGCAAACAGG